rnacentral:piRNA from 1 species
UAACAGCUAUAAAUAUUUUAG